rnacentral:lncRNA from 1 species
GUAAGUCUCCAAAAUGUGUUCAUGAAACUUGCAGAAACCAGUGUACAUGUUUAACGACUCAAUUUCUGCUUCGGGAAUGCAGAAGCCGAGAAACUCCAGUGUCCUUUGGGAUGAGGUAGUAGAUUGUAUAGUUUUAGGGUCAUACCCGAUCUCGGAGAUAACUAUACAUUCUACUGUCUUCCCAUGGUGUCACCAUCUGCUACACCAGAGCUGAAGUGUGAUCUUUAAGAGGUGUCACAACCAUCUUUGAGGCGAUGCAUGUUUGAGCAGGCAUUAAUCAUUCAUCUGAUACAUGAAUACUGUAGGAUUCCUUCAGCCUUUGCAUUUGUAACUUUUUGUUGCUGUCUUUUUUCAGGUGAAAGUCAAGUGAAUUUUGUGCAGACGUAAACAUUCUGGCACAGUGGUUUUGAGAAUGAAUAAAAGAUGUAUUACACGUGGUGGUAAUGCCAUGCCCAAUGAGGCGGUUUGCAGGGAUGAGACAUAAUUUUGCUUUGGGUUUUGUUAUUAGUGAGUCCGACUCGGCCUUUAGUCUUCUGUGCUCAAUAAACUGAGUAGCAUUGAGCGGGGUCAGAAAAUAAUUAGUUUAGUUGGUCUCCAAAAGCAUGGAGACUUGCCUCCCCUGCAUAAACUUUGUCCUGAUUAAUCAGGCAAUAUUUCAAAGUUACAGUUCAAUUAAAUUGAUUCAUUGUUUAAACCCAGGUUUAUUAUAAUAUACUAUUUCACAACUUCUGGUUCUUCCAUCAUCUUCUCUUUAAUUCCAAUUUACUGGGUACACAAACCCAACACGUUUCAGGAGCAAGCUCCCUUCUUGGGGGGGGGGGGGGGGGGGCGGGGUUCUGCAACAUCCAAAAGUAACAGUUUAGUAUCUCACCAUGAGAGGUUAAAAGUCAGGAAAUUAACAGUCCAUUAUAUACUUGGUUACAAAGCAGUGUGGGAGCCCCUCUACUUAGAACGAACAUGGGUCAAAAUACAAUGUUCUAUGAAAUUUCUUACACUGAGGAGGGGUCUGCAACCACGUUUUAGCUCACUGCACACUUAAUAGAUGAGAAAUAUCCCUUUACUUAUCAGUCUUUGUCCCACCCACAAGGGCAGUCCAGCACCGAAAUGCUAGGCAAAUCUCCUCUAAACAAGAGUGCCAUCAGCAACCCCAGGCAUGUUUUUCGUAUUAGUUGGGCCUCCUCAGUGAGGUGAAGCUGAGCGUCUCUUAAGGCAGUGAGAAAGGAGUCCACUCCUGGGUUACUUAGAGUGAAACCCCACAUUUUACAAAGUUACAAAGGAGUGUGGUAGCCCCUCUACUGAGAACUAUAUACUUACAUCUAUUACAUAUACAUUAUUGUCGUCAGUAUGGUAUUUUUUUAAAUAAACAUCCACUUCCUAUGUUGUAAUAUCAAAUGAAUCCACCUAAUAUUAAGUAGUGCGAUAUUCUACUACUUCAUACCUCUUAGUGCCUAAUUAUAGCCCAUAGUGCACUAGUACACAAACUAUAUAAGCCUUGAUAACAUAUGAUCCUUCUUGAUGCCAGAAAGAAAUUACAGCAAGAGAAAAGGGCUCAAAACACUCAAGUUAUAUUUAUUAGUACAGCUAGCAUUCGCACUACCAUUCUAAUCUCUUGAUAGGUGACAGCGAUACAGAACAAUUGUUACAUAAAGAUUCUUGUUUGCUCUUUCUGCAGAUGUUGGUAGGUCCCCUAACCUCCAAAUUCCCCCCACACCCAUACCUUUUUCCUGGCAUCUUGGAAUCCUGACCGAUAUUUGCUGACACACAUAUACUGGAUACCAUGAAAGGUGCAGCGGUUUUGGUGUGGUUCUAGAUAGCUUAUUGUUAGGUUUCCUAAAGUCUACCAACAGGUGAGACUCUAUGAAACGGUUCUACGUUAUUUCGCCAAACGAAAUUUCAUCGUGGACUUUUCAUCGCCGGCCCUUUCAUCGCCAACAUUUUUUUUUUUAAAUGUAUUUAUGGGGGGGGAUGCGCCCCCCAAAUACCCCUCUUAAUUAAAUAAUCGUACCCCAACCCGCACAAACACCCCCCUCCCCCCCCCCCUUAAUAAUAUUUUUUUAAAAAAAA